AGGGCACCACCAGGAGUGGAGCCUGCGGCUUAAUUUGACUCAACACGGGAAAACUCACCCGACCCGGACACUGGAAGGAUUGACAGAUUGAGAGCUCUUUCUUGAUUCAGUGGGUGGUGGUGCAUGGCCGUUCUUAGUUGGUGGAGUGAUUUGUCUGGUUAAUUCCGAUAACGGACGAGACUCUAGCCUACUAAAUAGAUCGUCGGCUUACAAACGCCGGCGAGACUUCUUAGAGGGACAGGCGGUGAUUCAACCGCACGAAACAGAGCAAUAACAGGUCUGUGAUGCCCUUAGAUGUCCGGGGCCGCACGCGCGCUACACUGAAGUGAUCAGCGUGCUUUUUCAACCUACUCUGUCAAGAGUGGGGAACCCAAUGAACCUUCUUCGUGAUUGGGAUAGGGGAUUGUAAUUAUCCCCCUUGAACGAGGAAUUCCCAGUAAGCGCGAGUCAUAAGCUCGCGUUGAUUACGUCCCUGCCCUUUGUACACACCGCCCGUCGCUACUACCGAUUGAAUGUUUU
rnacentral:rRNA from 1 species